rnacentral:rRNA from 1 species
AUUGAACGCUGGCGGCAGGCCUAACACAUGCAAGUCGAACGAGUGGCGGACGGGUGAGUAAUGUCUGGGAAACUGCCUGAUGGAGGGGGAUAACUACUGGAAACGGUAGAUAAUACCGCAUACCAUCGGAUGUGCCCAGAUGGGAUUAGCUAGUAGGUGGGGUAAAGGCUCACCAAGGCGACGAUCCCUAGCUGGCAUGAGAGGAGGACCUGCCACACCGGAACGGGGACACGGUCCAGACUCCUACUGGAGGCAGCAGUGGGGAAUAUUGCACAAUGGGCGCAAGCCUGAUGCCGCCAUGCCGCGUGUAUGAAGAAGGCCUUCGGGUUGUAAAGUACUUUCAGCGGGGAGGCGUUACCCGCAGAAGAAGCACCGGCGAACUCCGUGCCAGCCGCCGCGGUAAUAC